GUACACGCUGUGACUAGCAUAUCAAUAAGCGGAGGAAAAGAAACUAACAAGGAUUCCCCUAGUAACGGCGAGUGAAGCGGGAAGAGCUCAAAUUUGAAAUCUUAAAGGGUUUCCCUUUACGAAUUGUAGUUUAAAGAAGUGUUUUCUGUUGAGGUUUUGGUAAAAGUUCUUUGGAAUAGGACAUCAUAGAGGGUGAGAAUCCCGUAUUUGACCUUUACUUUCAACUUUGUGAUACACUUUCAAAGAGUCGGAUUGUUUGGGAAUGCAGUCCCAAAAUGGGUGGUAAAUUUCAUCUAAAGCUAAAUAUUGGCGAGAGACCGAUAGCGAACAAGUACCGUGAGGGAAAGAUGAAAAGAACUUUGAAAAGAGAGUUAAACAGUACGUGAAAUUGUCAAAAGGGAAGCGUUUGACACCAGUGUUGUUUUUCUGAAAAUCAAUUAAAGAACUGUUUAUGCUAAGCUGUUUAGACUUUAUCAGCUAUCUGUUUAGUUUUGAGCUUUUCUUUAAUGCACUUUUCAGUUAACAAGUCAACAUCAAUUUCUUUUGCUGUAAAAAAGCUUGAGGAAGGUGGCUUGAGAUUCGUCUUAAGUGUUUAUAGCCUCUUGCCUAUGCAGUCGGAGAGAUUGAGGUCUGCAGCGUAGAUCCUUCGGGGCUAAAUGCAUUUGUGCUAAGUUAUAACAUUUUAUAGACAACUUGUUGACUAUGAUUUGUCUUGUAGCUUACUCGCUUAUGUUAUUUUACCUACGCUUAGGAUGUUGAAGUCAUCGUAUCGCGC
rnacentral:rRNA from 1 species